rnacentral:lncRNA from 1 species
UUUAAACUAUUCCAGGUCACACAGAAAGAUGGAAAACUUAAUGCCCAAACUGGGUAAUAGUAAAGGAAAAAACUUAUAUGUUAAUUUCAUUUCUAAAUCUAGACUCAAAUAUCUUCAAUGAAAUGUAAAGAUGAAAUCAAAUCCAGAAGUAUAUUUAGAAGGAAGAUCAAUCAUGGACAAGCAGAGUUUAUUGCACAAGCGGAGAACCGGGCCUCAGUGGACGCAAGCAGGAAGCGAGUCCAUUUGUUCUGAUCGCUGCUCUGACGAACGAGCUCAGCCAGCUCGUCCUUCUGUGUCCUGGGUAUUGAGAAAAAGGCGUUUGCCAGAUCAAUAGCUGCAUACCGGGUCCCUGAGUGUGUGUUAAUUUGCUCAAGCAAUGAAACCACGUCUGGAACAGCAGCUGCAAUUGGAGUCACCGCCUGGUUAAGUUUAAGGAGAAAACUCUUUACUUCCUACAACCACACUCUCGAGACAAUUCCCUGGAUUUUUCUACCAGCUAGCAUCUUGCUGAGGCUUCCCACCUGCACGUCAACUUCUCCUGCCUCCUUGAGAUGUGGGCUGGUGAAUCAAACCAACCAGUUAAGUACACUCGGGGAGGUAGCUGUUUGAAAUGCGGAGUUAAUUCAUGUUACCAA